rnacentral:rRNA from 1 species
UAGGGAAUCUUCGGCAAUGGGCGAAAGCCUGAACCUGCGACGCCGCGUGAGUGAUGAAGGUCGUAAGAUCGUAAAACUCUUUUCAGGGAUCUUAAAGCCUGUCUGUCAACAACAGGCAGGUCUGACUCUCCCUGGAAGAAGCCCCAGCCAACUACGUGCCAGCAGCUGCGGUAAUACGUAGGGGGCGAGCGUUAUUCGGAAUUACUGGGUGUAAAGGGUAUGUAGGCGGCCCUUCAAGUCGCGUGUCAAAGUCCAGUGCUCAACGCUGGGUGUGCACGCGAUACUGACGGGCUUGAGGGCUGGAGAGGUGAGCGGAAUUCCCGGUGUAGUGGUAAAAUACGUAGAGAUCGGGAGGAACACCGGCGGCGCAGGCGGCUCACUAGACAGUUUCUGACGCUAAGAUACGAAAGCGUGGGGAGCAAACA